UGUUCGACGGCAACAUGUACACGACGUUUUGCCGCCAUGAGCUUCGCUGCUCGCUUCUCUCUGUCCGACAGGGCCGAGCUCUAUGCGUGAAAAGUGGACGACCUUUUCCACCUCGAUACAUCUCGAUACGAUCGAUAGUUUCAGAAAUAAAAAUUUCCAAGUACAUAUCACGCAUUUUUGCAAAAAUUGACAAAAAUAGUAAAUGCAGGGCCCUGUAUUUUUCAAACAAAUUCGGAAUUAGCAAAAAAUAAUGACUUAAGCCCCCCUUAAUAUCAUGUGAACUACAUCAUAUUUUAGUUUCAACAAAAUCCCAAACAUCAAGGGAAAAAAGUGAUCGGUUUUAACGUGGAAUGACACCGUUGAUCUUUUGUUUUCUUACUGCGUGAAGUACCUGUAUUCCAAUUUUAAAGUUCACAGAGAAAGUUAGGUUACCCCCAUUGUUUUACUGGGUAUCCAAUAUGCAGUGGAUCCUGUCUCAACAGUGAAUCAUCAGUCAAUUAGGGCAAAGAAAACUUUUAUAUCGACACUCGCUAACGAAUCCAGUUGCGUCCUGGAGAUGUGGAGGAGGACUAACUAACUAUCUUCUACUCCGCCACUUGGAGCAAAUUCUGAGCAGAAUUCCUGGGUCAGAAAACUGAGAGGCCUGCCUGAAAGUUACAUUAUACAUAUAUAAUUUCUGCAUAAAGUUAUAUCAGAUAACCCACACAUGGUUAGAUCGUAAUCAGAUUCUGUACAUUAGAGAACGAUCGGUGUGAAAAUAAUCUUAUAAUUCUAUGGAGUUUUUUUAGUUGUACGAUCUGUUGUUGAGAUUGUGGAUCAAGAAUCUAUUUUAUUUUCAGUGCGUAGAAAACUUCACGAAUAAUUCGAAAUGAAUCAGCAGGUGAAAGACUUUGCAGUGAAAUAUCAUCAAUUUUUUUAUGAACUUCUUCCUGACUGGUUCUUAUACGGUUACACAGAUCGUACUUAUAUAUAUGAAAGAAUUGGAUUUGCACUAUAUGGCCCCCCUGACUAUGAUGAACAUAAAGAACUUAAUAACGAUAAUGCUGAUUUAUGCACGUUUAAAGGAUAUAAUAAAGAUGCAUGUAAAACCAUUACCAAAAUAUAUAAAAAGAUACUCCAGUCUAACGGAGGCAAUAAUUUCAUUCAAGUUGGUAUCAUAUAUAUUGUGGUAUUUGAUCACGAACAACCAAAAAAUUUAACAAAUAGUUCUGAUAACUGCUUGAAUAGGACAUUUGUAUUACCUAUUUUCAAAUUAAAAUUAAAAGAUACUAUAUUGUAUAUUGAUAAUGAUGCCAGAGUAUAUAAAAACUGGGAAGAUUAUUUGGAGAAUAAUACACUGCCAAAAUGUAUGAUGAUUAUACCAAAAGAAGGAAUCUAUCAAUGCAAUCCAUAUCUUCCAGUUACCAAGUGGUCUUCGACUGUAUGGAUUCAGAUCUUACCAUCGCCUUCCUGUAAGGCUGUCAAAGCUGUCCUCAAAGUAGUUGACAUUUCUUCCAGUGUUGUAGGUAUUGGUUCAACUAUAGGACUUGGAGUGGCAUCGUUGCUUACUCCUGUUGGACCUAUAUUAGCUGGUGCAAGUUUAAUUGGCUGCGCUGUAAGCGGAGCAUGGAACAUUGGACGAAGCAUAGGGAGAUUAGUAGAUCGAUCUAACCACGUAGAAUCUAUAAGUCCCACUAAUGGCGAUGCCUUGUCUGCAUAUUUUGGAAUAGCCAGUUCGGCUUUAGCUAUUGGUACAAAUGGUGGAGCCAUGCUUAUGACGAAAGCUAUCGCCAGAGGGGCUCGUAUUGGUGACAUAGCCAAAGUGACCUUCAAUUCAGUGGUAAUAAGUAAUCUUGCAGUUAGUGGAUGUGGCAUAGCUUUCGAAGGAUACCGUUUAAUUGAUCAGUACCAAACGCAGAAGAAAGUCAACAUUCUCGACGUGAUGUUGUUCAGUUCGCACAUUCUAUUUUUCAGCAACUCUUUAAUAAAGAGCAAACUUGCUAGCGAGCUUAUAGGAGCAUCCAGAGGCACUGUCCUUGAGAAAUUCAAGAACUUCUUACGUUCCGACCGCUUUGAGCAAGAAUACGCCAGAGUUCUUGGCAAUAAGAGUAGUUCUACAGGGAUAAUACACAAUCUUAAGAAAAUUACCAGUGGAACCGAGUUUCUGAACACUUUCAGCAAAAUAGCUAGAAAUAAAAGUUACCAGUCAAUCUUCUUCGAUGGCAUGGUCUUACUGAAUGGCAUCACUCUGUUAGAUCCUUUUGUAGUGGCACAAGAAUUGUUAACCAGUGGCGUGAUAUCUCUUGUAAAUCCUGAAUCAUCACCACUCAAUAAGCAGAUAGUGGCUGGAUUGACAACUUCGGUCAAGGAUUUAUUGAGAGAAUUCUAUUGGGAUAAACCGUCUACGUCGAAGACACAAUCUUAUGACGUUAAGCAGUUUAGUAGUAUGUUUAAUGAAAUGGCCUUUAUGGAUAAUGCUAUGUCAAUUCUUAGAAUGAUGUUCAAAGUUGCCACAAAAGUGGUGCAGAAUAACUUUGAUCCUGCGAGUUGCCUAUCGGAUGCUAUUAAGUUUUUGUGGGAGUAUUCCAAGGCGAAUCUAAGAGGAAGUGCCACUAAGGCAUGUGCUCCUUUGAAAGGCAAUCCUUUCCUGUACGACUUAUUAACUAAAAUUAUUGAAAAUCUGUUCGAUUUUGUUGAUGAUAUUGUUUGUGACCUACAUUUGGGAUUUUCUUCGUACAUGAUGCACAGUAUAAAGGCUACUUGAAUUAACCAUAGAGACACUAUUAUCUAUAAGAUAAUUAUUGUUAUACAGUAUUUUUAUACUUACAAAAGAUAAUUCUGUUGACAAAUUCUUUUACUUCCACCAGAGGUGAACAGAGAGAUUACUAACGUCCUGGUUUUGAUGGUUCCUCCUUGACUCAACGAAACUCACCAAACAACGUAUUGCAGGGAUUAUUUUAGGAAAUCCUACGAGGCUCUGUGGUAAAACAAAUCUAACACUCACGAUUUCAAUAACAGUAGCAGUAACAGUUCAUUUACAAAAUAAUGAACGAAUAAAGAACGAAUAACAACUACGACAACAAUAACGACAAUGACUUCGAUAUCUUUUUUAUUCUAUUAUAUAUAUAUAUUUUUUAUUACAUAUUUAUAUAUUUUUUAUUCUAGCACUA